AAUAAAUUUCAACCAAAUCUAAAGUUAAUCCUAAUUAAAAUCUUAGUAGUUCUUAUUUAAAUCUUAAGUCAAAUACUAAUUAAAUUCUAAAAAAAUCCUAAAUCCUAACUAAUUUCUAAAUCCUAAAUCAAAUCCUAAUUAAAUUAACCUAAUCUUGGGAUAGUUUAAAACUUUAAUAUCUAUUGAUUAUACCAUUGAUCUUGCUUAAGAUUUUAUACACCUUUUAACAAUUAAGUUGGAAAUAAGCACACAAAAUAUAAAGAAGAUCAAACUUGCCAUAUAGAAGAUUGAACCUAAAUUCUUCUCUGGUAAUGGCCAGCCUCCUACUCUAAUCUAAAUGUUGAAAUUUAAGUGCCAAUAUUCCCUUCUCAAACCAUUGAAUUGCCUCCAAAAUAUACUUAAACUAUGGAAAAUUAAGUUUCAUCUCUAUACAAAAAAAUUAACUUCAAUCCAAUCAAUAAAUUGCCAAAGAACUUAAAAAUACUCAUUGAUCUUUAAAUUCUAAUUUUUGAGACCUCAACUUGCAAAAACCUUUAUACAGUUUGAUCUAACUAUUUGAUUGACUUCAAAAUUUUUACACAUGCUAACAACUAAAACACCAAUACAUUGCCUAAAAUUUACUUAUUUAUACAACACAAAAU
rnacentral:lncRNA from 1 species